rnacentral:rRNA from 1 species
UACGAAGGGUGCAAACGUUGCUCGGAAUUAUUGGGCGUAAAGCGCACGUAGGCGGCUUAGCAAGUCGGAUGUGAAACUCCCUCGGCUCAACCAAGGAAGUGCAUCCGAAACUGCUGAGCUGAGUACUUAAGAGGAUCGCGGAAUUCCCGGUGUAGAGGUGAAAUUCGUAGAUAUCGGGAGGAACACCAGUGGCGAAGGCGGCGAUCUGGGAAGAUACUGACGCUGAGGAGCGAAAGCGUGGGUAGCAAACAGG